CCCUGCCACUUCCUCCCCUCACAUCACACACAACCCCUCUCUGUCUCUCUCGCUUCUUGUUCACUUUCUCUCUCUAAAAGCUUGAAGCACAAGCAUACAAAAUUGAUAUACAUAUAUUAUAUAUAUUUAUAUACAUAUAUGGUUUGAUGUGUAUGCAUAGGCUUUGGGUUUGAACUUUGAAGGCUUUGAGCUCUGUGAGUUGAUCAGUAAUGGCGACGGCGCCAGUGAAGCCACCGCUGCACAACUUCCCUCUCGCAUUCUUGAAAUGGGGGGCGAAGAACAACUCGACCACCAUCAACAACCACCGCUACCGCCGACCCGUCUCCGCCGAACCCGCCUCCGAGCCCGACUCCGAAUCCGAACGCACCCACUACAACAACAGCCGGGUCGGAUCCUCCCGCCACCGCUACUCCUUGAUCCCGUGCGCUGGCGACAAGCGUCGCAGGAGCGUGGAGAGAGAGAGCGAUCAGGAGGAGGGCGAGGAAGCUGACAAAGCCGAGGUAGUUCAGAAGCCCUGGAAUCUGAGGCCCAGGAGAGCUCCGGCGACGACGUCGUUUUCCAAGGGAGGUGCCAACGGUGAACCGCACGAACUGGAGAGUCCGAACCCGAACCAGAGCGAGCUGCAGCAGCCGAAGUCGAUGAGGUUGAGGGGUUUGGCGGCGGAGGGGCAGAAUGUGGAGAAGAAAGAGAACAGGAAGUUCUGGAUCGCUUUGUCAAAGGAGGAGAUUGAAGAGGACAUAUUUGUGAUGACUGGGUCGAGGCCUGCCAGAAGGCCCAAGAAGAGGCCGAAGAAUGUUCAGAAACAGCUCGAUAUUACUUUUCCUGGGUUGUGGUUGGUGGGUGUUACUGCGGAUGCUUACAAGGUUGCUGAUUCUCCUUCUAAGAGGUAGAUUUGUAUUGUGCCCAGAAGAUUGUGACUUUGUUGAAAGUUCGUAAAUGGAAAAGGCAGCUGCCCCUGCGGCUUGGAACUCUCAAUUCGGAGGAUGGAAGUCAGCCUAGCUGCUUCUUGAAGUAUCAAGAAAUUGGUACAAAAACUUGUCUGUGUGUGAGAGGUUUCAGAUCAUAACAAUUCAUCAAACCUUCAGAAUCAAAUGUUUUCCUUUGCUGAUUUUCUUUAUGGCCGAAGCCUCCUGGGUGUUUGUGGAUUGUUUCAAUAGCUGAAGAAAAUGUUUAUAUUUCUGUGGCAGCUAAGCUUGCCUUCAUUUAGAAGGUAAUAUGAUCAAGGGAAAUGGAAAAGGUAAACAGGUAGCAAUAUUAUGCAAUCUUAAGCAUUGUGCUGCUUAAUGUUUGAGUUGUUGGCUAGAACUCUGUACUGGAACAACAUGAUUUGUUCUACAAGGACGACAAAAGUUCUUGAAACUCCCACAAUAUUGGAUAA